UACGUAGGGCGCGAGCGUUGUCCGGAAUUACUGGGCGUAAAGAGCUCGUAGGCGGCCUAUUGCGUCCGCUGUGAAAUCCCCGGGCUCAACCUGGGAAUGGCAUUCGGGACUGCAAGGCUGGAGUGCGGCAGAGGAGACUGGAAUUCCUGGUGUAGCAGUGAAAUGCGUAGAUAUCAGGAGGAAUACCGAUGGCGAAGGCAGGUCUCUGGGCUGACACUGACGCUCAUGCACGAAAGCGUGGGGAGCAAACAGG
rnacentral:rRNA from 1 species